UUAUUCUUCCUUUUUUCUUCCCAUUUCUCUCUUGAGGUAAACUAGGGCUGCCGAAGAGGCGACUCCAUUGUCGUCUUAUCUUCAACCUUCUUUACUAACUACAACCCCCACCUAUCCACAUCACCACCAUCAUCUCCAGUUUUUGUUGUUUGCUGAUAAUCAAAUGGAGCCCACAGUUGUAACUUUGGAUUCAGAUGUAAUUAUGGAUGUCGAGCAAUCAACCCCUGCUUCAAUUGUGAUGUCCUAGGUCCCGUGACUGCAGAAGAUUGAUAGAGGGAGCUAAUGACAGCUAAUGGUGUUCGAUGAAUGGUGCUACUUGGAAGCACCUCUGGAAUAAUCUAUCUUAUUGGAGUUUUCACUUCCACAUUAGCUGAAGAAUACUUGGACUUUGCAUAUUAGUUGAAGAAUAAAACCUUAGUGAUAUCGUUCGUUCAUUCUUUAUUCAUUCAUUCUUUAUUCUUACAGAAGUAUCAAAACAGUUGAAGAAACUAGUUUUCUUUUAGUUUUGCUUUCAAUUUGCUGAAGCUUAUUAUCAGUUUAGUUGGAUAUUUUUCAGUUAAGACUAUUGAAUUGAUUAUUAUUCUUAUUAGCAAAUUUAGUUUUACUGUUGCAGAGA